rnacentral:rRNA from 1 species
UACGUAGGGUGCAAGCGUUAAUCGGAAUUACUGGGCGUAAAGCGUGCGCAGGCGGUGAUGUAAGACAGUUGUGAAAUCCCCGGGCUCAACCUGGGAACUGCAUCUGUGACUGCAUCGCUGGAGUACGGCAGAGGGGGAUGGAAUUCCGCGUGUAGCAGUGAAAUGCGUAGAUAUGCGGAGGAACACCGAUGGCAAAGGCAAUCCCCUGGGCCUGUACUGACGCUCAUGCACGAAAGCGUGGGGAGCAAACAGG